CCAGGUCUCUGCCCUCUUCCCAAUUCUUCAUCCCCCUUGGGAGAGGUUGGGGGCCCGCUGGGCUGGGUGUCAAGAUGUGAAAGCUUGUGGAUGCUCCAGGGACAUCUAGUGACCCCUCAAGGGCGGUUCUGCCGUCCCUGUGUCGCUAAAUCAGCCGGGGUCUGCUGUGUGCGAGAAGCACCCUCGAGCUCACAGCUGAGUAACUUGACUACUUUACCUGGGAAUUUCAGACCCUGAGAGCUCUCUUGGGUUUUAUGUGCAGGUUCUGUGACCACUCAUUACUGUAUCGGAACUCAUCAGGUACCCAUUUAUAAAUAGCACUGACCUGUCUGUAUAUUGACCCAUCACUAACUCGUCCCCUAGAACCCAGCAUAUGUAGCAUUGUAUUGCAAUUUCCCUGGCUGACUUGUGUUUUGCACUGAUGAAUUUUGACAGGGUAAUCGCCACUUUACUUGUGCAAUACUGCUGUAAAUAAGUGCAGAUUU
rnacentral:lncRNA from 1 species